rnacentral:rRNA from 1 species
AUUCCAGCUCCAAUAGCGUAUAUUUAAGUUGUUGCAGUUAAAAAGCUCGUAGUUGGAUUUCGGAUGGGUUUGACCGGUCCGCCUUUGGUGUGCACUGGUCGCGCCUAUCUUGCUGUCGGGGACGCGCUCCUGGCCUUAAUUGGCUGGGACGCGGAGUCGGCGAUGUUACUUUGAAAAAAUUAGAGUGUUCAAAGCAGGCCUAAGCUCUGAAUACAUUAGCAUGGAAUAACGCUAUAGGACUCUGGUCUUAUUGCGUUGGUCUUCGAGACCGGAGUAAUGAUUAAGAGGGACAGUUGGGGGCAUUAGUAUUUAUUAGCUAGAGGUGGAAUUCUCUAAUUUGAUAAAGACUAACUUAUGCGAGAGCAUUUGCCAAGGAUGUUUUCAUUG